rnacentral:tRNA from 1 species
GGAGGUAGCUCAGUGGUAGAGCACUUGCUCAGCAAACAGGAGGUCCUGGGUUUGAUCCUCAGCACCA